rnacentral:rRNA from 1 species
AUGUAUCAAUCUAAUCAGGCAAGAAUUAAGAAGGAAAUCCCUUCCCUCUUGCCCGGCCGUGGGCAGAAAGGCCCCCGGCCGGCCCUCUUGCGCCCUCCUUCUAGCAGCGCCAUAAUAGAAUUGCAACAACUUCCUCUUCAUCGGCAAAAUCAAGAUCUCCAAUGUUCUCUUACGGCAAGUUAUGAAUUAACGCUUUCUAAGAUUAAUCAAUAUUAUAAGCAAAGGAGUAAGAAGAAUUGGGUUUCUAAAGGUGACCGUAAUACUAAAUUUUUUCAUCAGGCUGUUAUUAAGCGUAGGAAGAGAAAUAAUAUAUGUUCUAUUAAGGAUGAACAUGACCUCAUUCACUGUAAUCCUAAUGCCAUUAUGCAAACCUUUGUGAACUACUUCAACUAUAUUUUUUCAUCCCCUAAUGCGAAUGUUUGUCCACCUUUUCCUCUUCAUCAGGGGUACAAUCAUAACAAUGAUCCUACUUAUUCCAUUCCGGAUAACGCUGAAAUCUUGCAGAUUCUCAAAGAUAUGAAGCUUAACGCUUCUCCUGGACCUGAUGGUUUCAAUGUUGAAUUUUAUUUAGCUACUUGGGACUGGAUUGGGGAAGAGGUAACUCAACUUGUUACUAAUUUUUAUCAAACAACUACCCUUCCUUCUCAUAUUAAUAACACCAAUAUUGCUCUCAUUCCUAAUAAAUUGGUGCCCCUGCUUCCUACUGAUUACAGGCCUAUUAGCCUUUGUAACGUGAUUUACAAAAUCAUUGCCAAGUCUUUGGCUAAUAGACUUAAAUCUCACCUUCCUGAUUAUAUUGAUCCUGCUCAACAAGCUUUUAUUCAAGGUAGGCGUAUUAGUGAUAACAUCAUUAUUGCUCAGGAGAUUGCUCACUCUUUUUCACUUAAAUCUUGGAAUCAUAGUGCUUUCAUGCUUAAAAUAGAUCUUGCUAAAGCUUUUGAUGGUUUGGAAUAG